GUUGCUCUCUCUCUUUCAUCGACGAUUUCACCGAAGAGAUUUCAGUGAAAUCGGAAGCAAACCGAGGAGAACGAUCGACGCCUUUGAUUCGUCGUCAUCAUCAUCUCAACGGACGCGGAGCACGAUCAACGCCUUUGAUUCAGCAAAUCGGUGAAUCGGAAGCGAACCCUAAUUCUGUUUUCUACACGAAACCCAUCAAAAUCGAGAUUUGAUCCGUUUCUACUUUCUGCCAUUUGAUUGUCUUCAUCAGUACAAAUCUGGGGAAACGAGAAGCCCUAAUCUUUGGAGGUAAACCGAUUGCUCCUUGGACGUAAUUGUGGGAAUCUGCAAUAUCCUUGUCUUCAAAACAUGAUUUUGAUCUCCAGGCUGCUAGCUUUUCAGCUGAUAAAGAGCAAAUGAGAAUGCCUCGAGUGGUCAGAGUUAAAAGUAAAACAAGAAGAAAGAAACCAGAAAGGUCAAGUUGGUUUAUCACAAAUGCAGGAAGGCUGAUUGGCUAGCAUGAAGAUGUGAGAUGCAAAUAUCACCUUGUCAAGCAUAGUUUGUGUCUCAAGUUUUGUAAAAAAACUAGAUGAAUUCCCACGCUACGCGUGGGUUUGUUUUGAAAAUUGUUAAGAUAAAAAUAUAUAAAUUGUCUUUGUCGCUAA